rnacentral:rRNA from 1 species
UACGUAGGGUGCGAGCGUUGUCCGGAUUUAUUGGGCGUAAAGGGCUCGUAGGCGGCGUGUCGCGUCGGGAGUGAAAGCCCGUUGCUUAACGGCGGGUUGGCUUUCGGUACGGGCAUGCUGGAGUGCGGCAGGGGAGACUGGAAUUCCGUGGUGUAGCGGUGGAAUGCGCAGAUAUCAGGAGGGAACACCGGUGGGCGAAGGCGGGUCUCUGGGCCGUUACUGACGCUGGAGGAGCGGAAAGCGUGGGGAGCGAACAGG